GGAGAAGGAGUCAGGGGAUAGGAAGGUGGAUCCCACUGAGUGCCACAAAAUGGGCUGCAGAGAGGAGAAGGACCGGGCCCCUUGUACCUUGAAAAGCUCCUAAGAGGCUCCUCGGGGGGCCCCAUGAUUUUCUCCAUGCAGCCUGGUGAAGACGGAAGAAGGCCACCAUCAUGGCUCUCAGUCAAGUCCCUGUGACUCACCUGCUGUCCUCUGAGACCAGACGGUAAAACCAGCUGCUGUCUGACUUGAAUCUCUGGCGCCAAGUCUUCUCAGCCUCUGGUGCCAAGAGGCGGGUGUGAAUUUGAGUGACAACCUGGUGCUUGCCCUCUCUGGCCUCAGUUUCCUUAUCCGUCGCAUCACAGUGCACGCCCCUGAGGUGCGGGACUUAGACAACCGCUGUGUCGUGCUCUUCCCCAAGUGAGAGGAUUGUAAGAUGCGCAGCAGACGUGGCCCCCAACUGUGGAUGUCCAGGCUGA